GCCCCGGUAGCUCAGUGGAUUAGAGCAAGACGGUUCUAACGUCAAGGUCGGGGGUUCGAGUCCCUCCCGGGGUACCA
rnacentral:tRNA from 1 species